rnacentral:tRNA from 1 species
AGGUCUAUAGCUCAGUUGGUAGAGCGUCAUUUACUUAUGUUAAUGAAGGUCGUCGGUUCAAAUCCGGCUAGGCAAA